UACGUAGGGUGCAAGCGUUAUCCGGAAUUAUUGGGCGUAAAGCGCGUGUAGGCGGCUUUGCAAGUCGGGUGUGAAAGCCCUCAGCUCAACUGAGGAAGUGCGCCCGAAACUGCAGAGCUUGAGUGCCGGAGAGGGUGGCGGAAUUCCCCAAGUAGAGGUGAAAUUCGUAGAUAUGUGGAGGAACACCGAUGCGAAGGGCAGCCUCCUGGGCCAGCACUGACGCUCAUGCACGAAAGCGUGGGGAGCGAAAC
rnacentral:rRNA from 1 species